rnacentral:rRNA from 1 species
UACGGAGGGUGCGAGCGUUAAUCGGAAUUACUGGGCGUAAAGCGCGCGUAGGCGGUUUGUUAAGUCAGCUGUGAAAGCCCCGGGCUCAACCUGGGAACUGCAGUUGAUACUGGCCGACUAGAGUACGAGAGAGGGAGGUAGAAUUCCAUGUGUAGCGGUGAAAUGCAUAGAUAUCUGAAGGAAUACCAGUGGCGAAGGCA